rnacentral:rRNA from 1 species
AUUGAACGCUGGCGGCAGGCCUAACACAUGCAAGUCGAGCGGAUGAAGGGAGCUUGCUCCUGGAUUCAGCGGCGGACGGGUGAGUAAUGCCUAGGAAUCUGCCUGGUAAUGGGGGAUAACGUCCGGAAACGGGCGCUAAUACCGCAUACGUCCUGAGGGAGAAAGUGGGGGAUCUUCGGACCUCACGCUAUCAGAUGAGCCUAGGUUGGAUUAGCUAGUUGGUGGGGUAAAGGCCUACCAAGGCGACGAUCCGUAACUGGUCUGAGAGGAUGAUCAGUCACACUGGAACUGAGACACGGUCCAGACUCCUACGGGAGGCAGCAGUGGGGAAUAUUGGACAAUGGGCGAAAGCCUGAUCCAGCCAUGCCGCGUGUGUGAAGAAGGUCUUCGGAUUGUAAAGCACUUUAAGUUGGGAGGAAGGGCAGUAAGUUAAUACCUUGCUGUUUUGACGUUACCAACAGAAUAAGCACCGGCUAACUUCGUG